UUGGAGGGCAAGUCUGGUGCCAGCAGCCGCGGUAAUUCCAGCUCCAAUAGCGUAUAUUAAAGUUGUUGCAGUUAAAAAGCUCGUAGUUGAAUUUCAGGCCUGGCUGGACGGUCCGCCCUUCGGGUGAGUACUGUCUGUGGUCGGGUCCUACCUUCUGGCGAAGCGUCAUGGCCUUAACCGGCCGUGGCGGGGAACCAGGACUUUUACUGUGAAAAAAUUAGAGUGUUCAAAGCAGGCAAUCGCUUGGAUACAUUAGCAUGGAAUAAUGGAAUAGGACAAUGGUUCUAUUUGUUGGUUUCUAGGACCGUUGUAAUGAUUAAUAGGGAUAGUUGGGGGCAUUAGUAUUCAAUUGUCAGAGGUGAAAUUCUUGGAUUUAUUGAAGACUAACUACUGCGAAAGCAUUUGCCAAGGAUGUUUUCAUUAAUCAAGAACGAAAGUUAGGGGAUCGAAGACGAUCAGAUACCGUCGUAGUCUUAACCAUAAACUGUGCCGACUAGGAAUCGGGCGAUGUUGAAAAAAUGACGCGCUCGGCACCUUAUGGGAAACCAAAG
rnacentral:rRNA from 1 species